UGUGACUUGGCACUGCAGAGACACCACGAAUCUCAUUGCGCCACUUCAGGAACUCCUUCCUCUCAGAUUCUAAUGACACAAUCAUUAGCUCUUUUGGACUUGUCCCCUCAGGGCCCUAAAACUCUGUUCCCGUUACCAGUCUUUUUUCUCUCUGAUGUACAGCUUGGAUAAUUUUUAUUUUUCUAUCUUCAAGAUCACUGACUUGUUUAUCUGCCAUCUCCAUUCUGCUACGUGUCCAUGCAAGGAGUUUUAAAAUCUUUGGUUAUUUUGUCUACGGCCAUACCACCCUGAAUGCAAAGCAACAGCUAGCUAGCCUUGCAAGAAAACAGUUUGACAAUGCAAGUCAGUAGCCCUAAAAAUGUGCUUCCCAGACUUCCGGUCAGCCAAGUUGACAUAGAUCCACUUCCCCCCGCUUCUCCCUGGAGAGCAUGACUAUAAAGUAAGGGGCAACCGAAGGGGUGCUCUGACAGAUAAGACAAAGAUCAACUGGUUUGGAAGCCCAAGACUGGAGAACAACCCAGCGGCAAGGCAUCUCAUGAUCCCCCCACCCAACCAAAGGAGACAACCUGGACCUACUGUUUCCUGCCCCGCAACCUGACAACAGAAGGCAGCCCAGGUUCCCAGGGAGUAGGAUUCCUCCUGGAUGGAGCACCAGACUGGACUUUGAGAAAUGAAAGAUCCUGGUCUUUCCUCUGAAGCCACCACUUCUCUGAAUGGUGUCCUCCUGCAAGUCCCACAGACACAGCGAAAGCUGAGCCCCUCCUACUCCCACAGGCCUGUGUCUCCCACCUUCCUCUGCAUCUCUCUGGAUGGCACCACCGCAUGUGGCAGGACAGAAGCUGGGCACCCUUCUGGCUUCUCAUGCCCCUGCCUCACCAAUCGAGAAAAUCCUGCCCCUCCUCCUCACCCCCCAAAUCACCCAUUUCCACCCCACCACCAGCAUCCCAGGCAUCGCUCUUCAUCUUCUACCCUGACAACUGCAAAUGCCUCCAGGCUUCUCUUUCAUUCUUAAGCCUCUUAUUCAUGUAUAACGUAUAUGUAGAUAAUGGCAAAAUCAAAGUGUGCAUCUUGAUGAAUUUUUACAAACACACUUGAGAAAUCAUCACCCAGUCAAGAAAGAGCAUAUGAUUGGCCCCUAAGAAGUUCUCUUGGGCCCCUCCAGUGGCUCCUUUUCUUUUUCCCAAGGGUACUCUCUGUGCCGAUUUCCGACACAACCAAUUAAUUUUAUAUAAAUGGAAACGUGGUAUUUGCUCUUUUGUGUCUGGAUUAUUUUGUUAACUUUAUGUUUGUGAAAUUCAGCAGUAUGUUUGUGUGUAGUGGUCACUGGUUUAUUUACAAUGCUCAGAGUAUUCCACUGUACAAACAUACCACAUUUAUUUACUAAUGGGAGCUUAGUCUCUUUCUGUAAAAAAAAAAUAAUGUACAGAAACCUCAAUUAAAUAGAGAUGGGUACCAGUAGGGGGAGCUCUCACACCAGUGAUGAUAGAGCACAACAGGAAGAGAGACAUCUCUUCUCUCCCGGCAAGGACUCAGCCAAUGAAAACCACGGAUCCUUUGUUUACUAUAGCCCUCCUCACUUCCUUUUCUCCUCUAUAAAAGCAUUCUUAUUUCCUUCCUGUAGGUGGACUUGUACAUGGCUCACCAUGGUUACAGACCCUGAAUUGCAAUUCUCUGCUGAUCCUGAAUAAACCUUUCUUUGCUGGAGAAGAA